CUUGUUCCUCACUAUGCUUUCAGUAAACGACAUGAAGUUCGCCAUUAUAUUGAUUUUAUUCGGAUUGAUUGGUGAUUAUAUCAGGACCGAUGCUCGGCUUCGCCCGAAACGGCUAAGGCAUAAACACAAAUUGAAUGAUUUCAUCAAUUCCGAAUGCCGCUUCUUUUGCCGCAAGCCGCAGCCUCCGUACAAACCGUUCUGUGCCAGCAACUUUCGCAAUUAUCUCAGCAAGUGUCUGAUGGAUUGUGACAGCAGACACAGUGUCGUGCUCUUCAAGACCCACAACGGUCCAUGUUAGGUUAAAAAACGUUUGUGUGUACCUAAUAAACAUCUACAUAUGUGC